AUGCUCUAGUAAGAACAGAAGUUUGUUAUAGAGAGCAUGACAUGAUGAAAGGAAAAGGUCGGCCGAAACUUACUUGGGGGAAAGUAGUAAAACAAGAUUUAAUAGAGUGAGAAAUAGAUUGGCGUAUGGUUUGUCUUAGGAAGGAGUGAAGGAAAACUAUUAGCAUUGUGGAGGGAUGGAUAUAAAUAGAUUAAUAGAUAGAUGGAUAUAG